CCAAGAAGUCUAACAUGUGCGCGAGUCAUUGGGUCUUGCUCAGGCCCAAAGGCGCAAUGAAAGUGAAGGCCGGCUCGGCCGGCUGCGUUGGGAUCCCGUCCUUUGAAGGCGGGCGCACCAACGGCCCGUCCCAGUCGCUGCGUCGACGGGGCGGAGUGAGAGCGUACACGUUGGGACCCGAAAGAUGGUGAACUAUGCCUGGGCAGGACGAAGCCAGAGGAAACUCUGGUGGAGGUCCGCAGCGAUUCUGACGUGCAAAUCGAUCGUCAGACCUGGGUAUAGGGGCGAAAGACUAAUCGAACCAUCUAGUAGCUGGUUCCCUCCGAAGUUUCCCUCAGGAUAGCUGGCGCUCGGAGGAAGCAUUCUCAUCCGGUAAAGCGAAUGAUUAGAGGCCUUGGGGCCGAAACGACCUCAACCUAUUCUCAAACUUUAAAUGGGUGAGAAGUCCGGCUUGCUCGACUGAAGCCCGGACGUGAGGAUGCGAGUGCCCAGUGGGCCACUUUUGGUAAGCAGAACUGGCGCUGUGGAUGGCGCUUCAGCGUCGAGCCCAUACCCGGCCGUCGCGGCUGUAGGUACUUGUGCUUUAUGUCGCGACGAGUAGGAGGGCGCAGGGGUGUGCGUUGAAGGUGCCGGGCGCGAGCCCGUCUGGAGCCGCCCCUGGUGCAGAUCUUGGUGGUAGUAGCAAAUACUCAAGUGAGAACCUUGAGGACUGAGGUGGAGAAGGGUUCCAUGUGAACAGCAGUUGAACAUGGGUCAGUCGGUCCUAAGGGAUAGGAGAAAUCCGUUCCGAAGCGGGACCUUUCUUUGUUUGGUNCCGCCGCAGACCGAAAGGGAAUCGGGUUAAUAUUCCCGAACCCGGACAUGGAGAUCGACCCCUCACGGGGUCCAGUGCGGUAACGCAAACGAACUCGGAGACGUCGACGGGAGUCCCGGGAAGAGUUGUCUUUUCUUUGUAAGGGCUCGGCUCCCUGGAAUCGGCU
rnacentral:rRNA from 1 species